UGCUCUGUUCCUCAGUUACACACACGCUCGCCUCACAGUGAGCAGCUUGAGAAGCAGAACGAAGCUAAGAACAUGCAACACCAAACAGAAGAUCCAGAAGAAAAGGUUUUAGGCCCUCUCUGCUUUUUUUCCAGAGACCAUUAACCUGAGCUGAACAAGUCUGGAGAGGCCGAACUAACUCACGUGUGAAGGAAAGGAGAGAGAGGAGGAGGAAAGGGAGGAGGAGGAGAGGGCGUCGUGACAAAGGCUGCAGCUGCCUUUUCUUCUUCCUCUUUUAAGAAUAGGGAGAAAAAUGACAUAAUGGCAUUUAUGCUCAGGCUGCACAAACACAUUAGACUGUUGGGCUGAUGUCAUCAUGCCUCUGUUUGGGUGGAAGAACCAUUUAUUCUGAAAACUGAGCUCUGGGUCCUGAGGCUCAAACCUACUAAGAGGGCCGAGUCCUGUUGCAGCUGGAGAAUGGGGCCCAUCGCAUGAAAGGAGAAAGCUGAUAUUUGAGUUUGAAGUCUAUAAUUACACCUUCUUGUCUUGAAAUUUAUGAGUUUCAAGAAGCUUUCAUUAAAUGUCAUGGACAAGAAUA